CAGAAAGCUGGGCACCCUACCCGCACGUUUGGACGACUAACUCAUGUAUUCCGCUCCUGCAGAAAACAAAGUGACGACUCGGAGGAAUGUGGCGAAGAGGAAACGUUUGAAACACAGAAAGUUGAGCCCACAGAGGGAUACCUCCACCCUCAGCAAGCAGCUGGUCAAAGAGUGUCCACAGGUAGGCCUGAGGUCAAAGGGCAGCCCUGGAGAGCAAAGGCACACGUUCCACGGAACACACCUCCUGAGCUGCUCCCUCCAACAAAACAAUCCCAUUCCCCUGUCAGUCCCUUGCACAACGACAGAUAUCACCUUCACAUCUUGCAGCCUGAUAUUCUUCUUAUAAACUCCUUCACCCCCCUCCUAUCUCUGUCACCUCCUUCGGCCCCUACACCACUCCCGAACUCUG